GAUUCGUGUUGAGCAGUUGUCCCCGAUUAUUAUCGGGGGAGGAAAGUCCGAACUCCGCAGAACGAAGUGCCGGGUAACUCCCGGGGUGCUGAUUUAUUUGGUACACGGAAAGUGCCACAGAAAAAAUACUUCCUGUUGAUGGCGGGCUAAGCCCACCAAAGGCGGGUAAAGGUGAAAUGGCAGGGUAAGAGCCUACCGCUUCAAUAGUAAUAUUGAAGGCAGGGCAAACCCCACUUGGUGCAAGGUCAAGCAGAAGGUUUCCCGAGUAUAUUCUCGGGACAAGGUUGUUCGCCUUGAACUCCUUCGGGUAGACCGCUGGAUCCCGAAAGUAAUUUCGGGACAAGAUAAAUAACUGCUGCCCUCGACUUCACUCGGGGGGACAGAAUUCGGCUUACAGACACGGAUCAUUU
rnacentral:RNase_P_RNA from 1 species